rnacentral:rRNA from 1 species
GACGAACGCUGGCGGCGUGCUUAACACAUGCAAGUCGAACGGAAAGGCCCUGCUUGCAGGGUGCUCGAGUGGCGAACGGGUGAGUAACACGUGGGUGAUCUGCCCCUUACUUUGGGAUAAGCCUGGGAAACUGGGUCUAAUACUGGAUAGGACCAUGCUGUAGGUGGUGUGGUGGUAAGAUUAGUUUCGGUAAGGGAUGAGCUCGCGGCCUAUCAGCUUGUUGGUGGGGUAAUGGCCUACCAAGGCGUCGACGGGUAGCCGGCCUGAGAGGGUGGACGGCGACAUUGGGACUGAGAGACGGCCCAGACUCCGACGGGAGGCAGCAGUGGGGAAUAUUGGACAAUGGGCGCAAGCCUGAUGCAGCGACGCAGCGUGGGGGAUGACGGCCUUCGGGUUGUAAACUCCUUGCAGCCAUGACGAAGCCCUUGGGGUGACGGUAGUGGGAGAAGAAGCACCGGCUAACUACGUG